UAAAAAGCAGGGGUCUGUUGUUGACUUAUGUGAACUGGUCCCUCGUUAACGUCAGGGAAAUUAGUAAUUUCAUUGUUAUUGGGUGAACCUCUGUUUUUUUUCCUAUGUGGAUUAGUGGCUUAAGGUUCAGUAAAUGAUGGAACAUUC